rnacentral:rRNA from 1 species
GACAGAGGGUGCUAGCGUUGUUCGGAAUGACUGGGCGUAAAGGGCGCGUAGGCUGUUAAUCAAGUUAGGUGUGAAAGCCCCGGGCUUAACCUGGGAACUGCAUUUAAUACUGGUUGACUGGAGAGCGAGAGAGGAGAGCGGAAUUCCUAGUGUAGAAGUGAAAUCUGUAGAUAUUAGGAGGAACACCAGAGGCGAAGGCGGCUUUCUGGCUCGCAACUGACGCUGAGGCGCGAAAGCGUGGGGAGCAAACAGG